AAUGAACGCUGGCGGCAUGCCUAACACAUGCAAGUCGAACGAAGCCUUCGGGCUUAGUGGCGCACGGGUGCGUAACGCGUGGGAAUCUGCCUCUUGCUUCGGAAUAACAGUUAGAAAUGACUGCUAAUACCGGAUGAUGUCUUCGGACCAAAGAUUUAUCGGCAAGAGAUGAGCCCGCGUAGGAUUAGGUAGUUGGUGGGGUAAAGGCCUACCAAGCCGACGAUCCUUAGCUGGUCUGAGAGGAUGAUCAGCCACACUGGGACUGAGACACGGCCCAGACUCCUACGGGAGGCAGCAGUGGGGAAUAUUGGACAAUGGACGCAAGUCUGAUCCAGCAAUGCCGCGUGAGUGAUGAAGGCCUUAGGGUUGUAAAGCUCUUUUACCAGGGAUGAUAAUGACAGUACCUGGAGAAUAGGCUCCGGCUAACUCCGUGCCAGCCGCCGCGGUAAUAC
rnacentral:rRNA from 1 species